ACGUAGGCGGUGUUCCAUGUCAGAGGUGAAAGCCUGGGGCUCAACUCCAGAAUUGCCUUUGAAACGGGAACGCUUGAGUCCGAGAGAGGAUGGCGGAAUUCCUAGUGUAGAGGUGAAAUUCGUAGAUAUUAGGAAGAACACCGGUGGCGAAGGCGGCCAUCUGGCUCGGUACUGACGCUCAGGUUCGAAAGCGUGGGGAGCAAACAGGAUUAGAUACCCUGGUAGUCCACGCCGUAAACGAUGAGUGCUAGUUGUUGGGAAGUUUACUUCUCAGUGACGCAGCUAACGCGAUAAGCACUCCGCCUGGGGAGUACGGCCGCAAGGUUAAAACUCAAAGGAAUUGA
rnacentral:rRNA from 1 species